GUCAACAUGGCAUAGUGGUUUGUGCAUUAGACUAGACUCUGGAGACCAGAGUUUGACUCUCCAGUUGACC